UACCGGGGGCUAUCCCAGUGGAUUCAAGCAAGAUGCCAGGAACACUGGCAUAGUUUUCUAUUCUCCCCAUAUCCCCACUAACACACCCGGGAAUUCUCCUGCCUCAGCCUUCCAAGUAGCUGGAAUUACAGGCACCCACCACCACACCCGGCUAAUUUUUGUAUUUUCAGUAGAGAUGGGGUUUCACCACGUUGGUCAGGCUGGUCUUGAACUCCUGACCUGAGGUGAUCCACUCACCUCGGCCUCCCAAAGUGCUGGGAUUACAGGCGUAAGCCACCACACCCAGCCCCAUCCCUGCCACUUUAACUUCCCGCACUGAAACUCUGAUGAAACCAAUGGUGAUGAUACAAUAAAGUGAUAAAGAAAUAGUAAAAAUAAACUUUAUGGCAACAGGGAAUGGAAUGCCAAUAUGGCAGUAAAACUUUUUUUAAAAACAGAAAGAGGAAGGCCUCUCGUACCAGCAGAAUCCUGUACACAUACAAAAAAGAAAAAGCCACCUUGAUAAGCUUCAUUUACAAAAUGUUACUUAACAGGUUAAGUGUAAGAUGCAUUUCAGUAACAGGAAAGUGAAGGCAAAGCCCACUCUACAUUCCAUAAAAAGAAUCUUUAACACUGUAACACAUCUAACAAAAAAAGUCACCACAACUUUGAGAAACCCUUCUUUUGGUCAGCUGGGAACCAAAUUACAAAUUCUAAUUUGCAACACCAGAAGCAGUCAUGGGCCAACACUGGCAGCACAACAUGAGAAAGAUCCAAAG
rnacentral:lncRNA from 1 species